AUCAGAACCUUCUCCAUCUCCCUAACAUCGGGAACAGAUGCAUAAGCAUUUAAGAGGAUACUAUAGGAAAUCAUAUCACCAGAAACUCCCUUGUCUUCCAUCUCUAACAUAAGUGACUGUAGCUUCUCAAGAUAUCCCAAUUUAGCAUAAAGGGUCAUCAUAACAUUGUAUGCUACUGUGCCAGCAUAGGCCAACUCCUUCAACUUUUGCAUGGUAUCUUCUGCUUUUUUUAUGACCAUUGCAUUAGCAUAGCAGUUCAAGAGAGCACCAUAUACCUGGUAGGUUCUUGAAUCAUCUGGAAUGCUAGUGAAAUAUGUCUCUGCGGCUUCCAGACCAUGGGCUUUUGAUACUAAAUCCAGUUCGACUGCAAAAUCUCUAGGCGAUAUAUCAAAAUCUUUGGACUUCUUAAUCCACUCAAAAACCUGAAGGGCAUGAUUGUAGCGACGGUAAGCUCGAAACUGUCUGACGAUGAUCUGUAGGUCUUCAUACUUAAUGGGAUUUUGCUCAGUAACCCAUUUGUCGAGUACAGAUAUGACGGAGUCCUUAGAGCGCGUCAAAUAGAGUAGCCUACUGUUCAGAGCAUUCUUUGGAGACGCUUGUUCAUCUUUAUCAGGCAAAAA
rnacentral:misc_RNA from 1 species